AGUAAUAUAGGGUUGAAUUGGGAUAUUUUCUUGGAGAAUAUUACACGCCAACUAUGGGAGAGAAGAAGGUAGAGAGCUGAUGGGAAAGAAGACAUAACACACGGCUGUAAUUUUCAAUUCAAAUUGGAGAAAAUCAUAGGAGAGGAGGCUACCUGAGACUACAUAAACAUAAAUAAACGUGCAUAUCGGCAAAAUAAAGGGCAGAAAAACCUACAGCAAAGUGGAGGAAUUGAAAAGGAAUUGGGCGGCUGCCAAGAGGAGGAAAGGUGCUGCUGUAAUUACAAAACGGGGUUGGAAUUUGGAGGAAAAUAUUGAGGUUUGUGCUGAAUUUAUAUACAUACACCCAACAAACAUAAAAAGGCAUACUGGCAGCCAAAAAUUGGGAAGAAUUAUACACGUAGAAAGCUGAAAAUUGGAAGAAAAAUGCAGCUUUAAUUGGGGAAUUAAUCACGCUCAGUCGAUUCUCGGUGAUGUCUUUCUACUUUUAUUUGUUUAAUCCCAACAUGAUGCUAGGCCAAAUCUUUUCAUCUAUUGGAAGGAUGACAAAAUUGUUUAAUUCUUAGUUUUAAUUCUAG
rnacentral:lncRNA from 1 species